rnacentral:rRNA from 1 species
GACGAACCGUGCGAACGUUGUUCGGAUUCACUGGGCUUAAAGGGCGCGUAGGCGGCUUGCCAAGUCAGGGGUGAAAUCUUUCGGCUCAACCGGAAAACAGCCCCUGAUACUGGCGGGCUGGAGGGAGGUAGGGGCGGAUGGAACUUCCGGUGGAGCGGUGAAAUGCGUAGAGAUCCGGAGGAACACCAAAGGCGAAGGCAGGGUCCUGGCUGGUGACUGACGCUGAGGGGCGAAAGCCAGGGGAGCGAACGGG